UGUAGUCGGUGUCCGUGGAACGGAGUUCCAUAUUAGGAUGACACCGACGACCUGCCGCUGAGCGUAUGCGAGGGGGCAAUACCAACU
rnacentral:sRNA from 1 species